GCAGAUCAGAACAAACACCUGAGCAGCUUCACACGAACGGGGGCUCAACGGUGCCCCCCUGAAGAGAACCCGGAUCUGGAUCAGACCCGUUUGGACCAGCCCGACGCCGGGGCCCGGUCUGCACUCUUCCCUCUAUCUGAAGGGGCGUGUGACGGGAAAUGGCGUCUGGAUGUGUUUUUUAAUAUCCUCCCCUCUAAGCGGAGGGAUUCAGACCCCUCGGGACAUCGACCUCCAGACAGAAUCGCCCCGACACCGUCAUCCAGGUGCAGCGGAGGGAUCUCUGUGCCGUUAUUCCAACACGCUACGUUUUGAACGUAAAACUUUAAAUGUAAAACCGUUUUUCCCUCCAGAGAAAUUCUCUCUCUGCCCUACUGGAAACGGAGCAGGGCCCCAGCCAAUCAAUCAAUCAGUCCGACUUCUGACCAAUCAGCAUCAACCCUCAAAGCUAGCCAAUCACAGACAUUUGAUUGGUCAGAAGUUCUUAGAGUUGGUUUGUUUGCUCGUGUUUCUGUUCCAAGAGCAAAAUGAAGUCUGAAGUUUUGACUGCAGAGAGAACUUCCUGUUCUGGGACCACGCUCGCAGCUGAUUGGCUGACCAAACAGAGCCCACCUUCUCUCGGCACAGGUGCGUGGGAACCUCGUGAAGGCACAGGUACUCCCGGAGGUCCUUCACCCGUAGCUUCAUAAGCUCCGCCCGCUCCAGCUGGUUCCCGUAGAAGGGCUGGCAGGUGUGACAGAGGCGGGGCCGGGGCCCAAUGUGGGCGGAGCAACGGCUGCAGUAGCUCUUCUUGCAGUCGGCACAGGUGUGCUGCGGAUAGGUGAGAGGAGGAGAUUCUGAUUCGUUCUGCACUUUCAGAGUAAAGAAGGAGCACAUGUUAAUGAGUGGGCGGUCCCUGCUCCAGCUCCGCCCCCUGGUGGUCACCAGGUGAACAGCCCUGGCUCCGUCUGGAGGCAGAGUGGUCAGCGCAGUUCUUACCUUCUUAGCGGGCGUGUCGAAGCGCCCCCCGCAGGCCGUGCAGCCGUGUUCCGGCGACGGCGGCUGGCUGCCGCUGAAGGCGGAGUUGG